rnacentral:misc_RNA from 1 species
GUGGACUUCUACUACUUUUUCAAGUCACCAACACUGCAACCUCUGUAAGAGUCAGAAAGUCUAACAUCAUAUGCGCGGUGGCCAUUUUGAAAAUUAUUAAAGAGUUUGAAUAAACCAAAAAUAAAUGGAAUGAAAAGUCUUUUAGCUUUCAAAUUCCUCUCUCACUCUUUCUUAAUCAUUUCAUAUUUUUCAAUUCUUUUUCUUUCAAUUCUGCAAUCUUUUCCUGUGUUUUUUCCCCUUCUAAAUCAAAAUACUUUCUCCCAUAUGCUUGUUUUGAUUCUGCUUCUUUUCUCAAUUUCCAUUCAUUUUGUAAAGUUCCCUUCUUUUAUCAAAAUUUAAUUUAAUUAUACUCUUGAUUACAAAUAAAGCGAACCCUUUCUUUAAAUAUCCUUAUUAGAUCAGGGAGUUGUUGAUUAUGCAAUUAUGAUCCCAUAAUACCCUUUUCUUCAUCUCUCUUGUAAUAUCAAGCUGUGUUUGUCUUUGUCAAAGCUAACUUCCCAAACGGGUUUUGUCUAUUGCUGUUGUUUGAUUGAUUCUUUUGAAUAGAAAAUAUAAGAAACGGGUCGAUUUUGAUAUUAUUAUUCUGUUUUGGGUUCUAAAGAUUUAGUUGGUUUAAUUUAUUUUCAAGUGAGGUUGAGCUUUUUGCGUUUGUUCUCGGAGAAAUGAGGCUUCUGGUUCGGGUAAUAGAGGCAAGAAAUUUGCCAGCAAUGGAUCUAAAUGGGUCAAGUGAUCCCUAUGUGAGAGUGCAGCUGGGAAAGCAGAAGUUCAAGACCAAAGUGGUAAAGAAGAACUUGAAUCCGAAUUGGGGAGAGGAAUUCAGUUUUAAGGUUGAGGACUUGAACGAGGAGCUUGUAUUCUCUGUGUUAGAUGAGGACAAGUACUUCAAUGAUGACUUUAUCGGGCAACUUAAAGUGCCAGUGUCGCUAAUUUUUGAUUCGGAUAGUAAGUCUCUUGGCACUGCUUGGUACGCUCUGCAACCGAGAAACAAGAAGUCCAAGAACAGGGACUGUGGUGAAAUUCUUUUAGGUAUAUGUUUUUCUCAAAAUAAUGUGUUUGUUGACCUGAACCAUAAUGGUGAUCAUGGAUUGAUAAAGGAUGCAGAUUUAGUAACGGAAGCUCCUUCUAGGUCAUCUAGUGGGCCCUCAAACUCAUCCUCUCCGGGGAGAUCUGAGGAGGUUGCGCCCUCUAAAGAGGAAAAGUCUGGUGCACAAAAAAAUUUUGCCGCCAGAAUUGUUCAAAUGUUCAAUAAAAAUUCAGAUACAGCACCAACUGCUGGUGAUAGAGGCAUUGACAAUUCAGAGCCACCUGAAACUGUUGGUCCUGAGGUUUGUGAUGACGAGUCGAAUGAUCCCUCGUCUCCUGGUGACUUUGUAGAAAUCAUGAGAACAAUGGAAUCAAAAGAUAUGGGAAAUGAAAUUCCAAGCAAUCUACCAGGAGGGUUCCUUGUAGACCAGUUAUAUAUGAUUGCUCCCCAAGAUUUAAAUUUUCUACUCUUUUCACCUGAUUCAAGUUUUCCAAGAUCAUUGGCAGAUCUUCAAGGGAAUACAGAGCAACAAUUUGGUACUUGGAAAUUUGAGAAUGGUGGUGAGAACUUGAAAAGAGUUGUUACUUAUAUUAAGGCUGCAACCAAAUUAAUUAAGGCUGUGAAAGCCACUGAGGAACAUACAUAUCUAAAAGCUGAUGGAAAGGUUUUUGCUAUUUUAGUGAGUGUGAGCACUCCAGAUAUUGUAUAUGGGAGCACCUUUAAAACUGAAUUGCUGUACUGCAUUACACCUGGCCCUGAGCUGCCUUCGGGAGAACAAACUUCACAUUUGGUAAUAUCCUGGAGAAUGAAUUUUUUGCAGAGCACCAUGAUGAAAGGGAUGAUAGAAAAUGGAGCAAAACAAGGUCUAAAAGAUAGCUUCGAACAGUUUGCGUCUUUAUUAUCUCAAAAUGUUAAGCCAGUUGAUUUGAAGGAGACAGGAUCCACUAAGGAACAAGUUUUGGCUUCAUUGCAGGCUGAACCCCAGUCAGAUUGCAAACUGGCUGUACAAUAUUUUGCUAACUUUACUGUAGUGACCACAGUUUUUAUUGGAUUGUAUGUAUUUUUCCAUAUCUGGCUAUGCCCUUCCAGCCCAAUUCAAGGGCUUGAGUUUGUGGGACUUGAUUUACCAGAUUCAAUUGGUGAACUCAUUGUGUGUGGUGUCCUGGUUCUUCAAUGUGAAAGGGUGCUAGAGUUAAUUUCUCGUUUCAUGCAGGCCAGAAUGCAAAAAGGAAGUGAUCAUGGAGUCAAAGCACAAGGGGAUGGGUGGCUGCUUACUGUUGCCUUGCUUGAGGGAAGUAAUUUGGCAGCUGUUGAUUCAAGUGGCUUUUGUGAUCCAUAUGUGGUAUUCACCUGUAAUGGGAAAACUAGAACCAGCUCAAUUAAGUUCCAGAAAUCUGAUCCUCUUUGGAAUGAAAUAUUUGAAUUUGAUGCAAUGGAUGAGCCUCCUUCUGUGCUGGAUGUGGAAGUUUAUGAUUUUGAUGGGCCUUUUGAUGAAGCAGCGUCUUUGGGACAUGCUGAAAUUAAUUUUGUGAAAUCAAAUGUUUCUGAUCUUGCUGAUGUGUGGGUUCCUCUUCGAGGAAAGUUAGCACAAGCAUGUCAGUCUAAGCUGCAUCUAAGAAUUUUCUUGAAUAACACAAGAGGUAGUAAUGUUGUUAAAGAGUACUUGAAUAAGAUGGAGAAAGAGGUGGGGAAGAAGAUAAAUUUGCGUUCUCCACAAACAAAUUCAGCCUUUCAAAAGCUCUUUGGGCUUCCACCUGAGGAAUUUCUCAUCAAUGAUUUCACCUGUCACCUAAAGCGAAAAAUGCUCUUGCAGGGUCGUUUAUUUUUGUCAGCAAGAAUAAUUGGGUUCCAUGCAAAUUUGUUUGGGCAGAAGACUAAAUUUUUCUUCCUUUGGGAGGAUAUAGAAGAUAUCCAAGUGUAUCCUCCUACAUUAUCAUCAAUGGGUAGUCCUACUAUUGUUGUGACUCUCUGGCAAGGCAGGGGUAUGGAAGCCAGACAUGGGGCCAAGACACAAGAUGAAGAGGGAAGGCUGAAAUUCCACUUCCAGUCUUUUGUAUCUUUCAAUGUAGCGCAUAGGACAAUCAUGGCUUUAUGGAAGGCCAGAUCGUUGUCUCCUGAACAAAAGGUGCAAAUAGUUGAAGAAGAAUCAGAAGCUAAAAGCCUCCAAACUGAAGACAGUGGGCCCUUCUUGGGUCUUGAGGAUGUCAACUUAUCUGAGGUUUAUUCUUCUGGUGUUUCUGUCUCUACCAAUUUCUUCAUGGAGCUGUUCAAUGGCGGUGAGUUGGAGCGAAAAGCGAUGGAGAAAGCUGGUUGUCUUAACUAUUCUCACACCCAAUGGGAAUUGGAGAAGGAUGAUGUGUACGAGAGGCAAAUGUAUUACAGAUUUGAUCAGCGCAUCUCUCGUUAUGGAGGAGAGGUGACUAGUACACAGCAGAAACACCCCCUAUCUGAUCGUAAAGGCUGGCUGGUUGAAGAGGUUAUAACCCUCCAUGGAGUUCCACUUGGUGACAAUUUUAAUGUAUGGGUAUAAUUGUAACUGUUGAGUUGCAAAUGUUUUUGUCUUGAGUUGACUCUGUAAAUGGUGCUAUUGAUCCUCUUACCCAUUUAUUUAUUUGUCAUUCUUUCUUUCUCGUAAUUGAUGAGCUUCUUUUAUCCUCUGCAGCUUCACUUGAGAUACCAAAUUGAGGAUUUGCCCUCAAGACCAAACGGCUGUCAUGUACGCGUAUUCAGUGGAAUUGCAUGGCAGAAAAGCACUAGGCAUCAGAAAAGGAUCACAAAGAACAUUCUCUCAAAUUUGGAAGAUCGGCUGAAGGUGAUUUUUAGUGUUAUAGAGAAGGAAUUUUUGAACAGAUAGGGAUGUGCACUGCCAUGAGGUUGACACUGUGGACUUGAAGGAGCAGGUUGAUUGUCCAACUUCUGCUUUCUACAAAAAUAUUCUGUGUCCAUUUUCUCCAGGGAUUCCUGCUCACUCAUGUUAGUAUGACAUUUCUUGAUCGUGCAUACAGUUAAUGUUCCUUCAAGAAUUAUUUUUGCAUAGCUCUUGAGGCUAUAAUUUAUUCAGAGAAAUCCUAACGUUUGUUUAAACUCGAAUGGGAAACGUGGCAUGGGAAUUUAGCAUUGAACUUAAGGAGAUCAGUUUCUUCCCUUGCUGGUGGAGAUUGAAAUCUUCUGACCAAAAGCGUUUGUAAAUACUUGUACUCUUGAGUACAUAGAUUCAUUGGAGCUUCCAUUUCUUCUCUUUCAUAUCUACAACGUGCCAAAAUGAUUAAACUCCUCACCAACUGGCUUGUUAGGUGGUGGCAGAAGAAUUACAGAUAUUGUUUGUUAAUGUACUGAAUACAGAAUCAACUUGGCUUAGGGAAGUUCUGCAAGUGUAUGGAUGAAACAUAUUUUGGUGUUGAAAUCUGCUAACAAAAUCCUAUAGAUGCAAAACUUUUCUUCAGCUUAUUGAAUGUUGUUCAUCUUAUUGAAUCUGUUGAAAAGUUCUCAUGGAUUUUAUGUCUUGCUCCAGGGUCAAUGUUAAUGUAUUAGUUAGGUACUUGUAUUGAUGCCUUUUGGAAGUGGGAUUGGAAACUGUUUAUAGUGUUUCUUGUUGUUGGGUUGGCAGUGAAUUGAGUUGGAUUGGAUCCUUCUCUACUGGCAUUGUGGUGUAGUUCAUUGGAUUUUCUUGUAAAUUGCAGAUUUUUGCUGAGGCAUUGGCCAGUUGAAGGGAAACUCUCUGUAGUAGAAAGGGAGUGAUUGCAUUCUUAGUGGAUUUUAUUUUUUAAAUUUUCUAAUGAAGUGAUCAAAUUAGCUUUCUUCUUUCUUGUUUAUAUUGUUCUUUAUCCAGUUGUUAUUGCUUCUUUG